rnacentral:misc_RNA from 1 species
AACGCACAUUGCGCCCGCCAGCAUUCUGGCGGGCAUGCCUGUUCGAGCGUCAUUUCGACCCUCAAGCCCCUAGCGGCUUGGUGUUGGGGUGUUUCUACGGCUCUUAGCUGUAGGCCCCGAAAUCCAGUGGCGGGCCUGACGGGACCCCGAGCGCAGUAAUUUCUCUCGCUUUGGGCGUCGCGGCGGGCAACUAGCCGUAAAACCCACAGGUGCCCUUGUGGCCCUGUAAUACACCAAGGUUGACCUCGGAUCAGGUAGGAAUACCCGCUGAACUUAA